rnacentral:rRNA from 1 species
AUGGGUAUGUCUCCUUAUAAAAUGGUCUAUGGAGAAGCAUGUCAUUUACCUCUUGAGUUAGAACAUAAAGCAUAUUGGGCAAUUAAAGAACUCAAUUAUGAUUUCAAACUUCCCAGUGAGAAGAGGUUAUUUGAUAUUAGCUCGCUAGAUGAAUGGAGAACCCAAGUUUAUGAAAAUGCCAAAUUGUUUAAAGAAAAGGUUAAAAGAUGGUAUGAUAAAAUAAUUCCAAAAUGGGAAUUCAAAGUGGGUGAGUAUGUUCUAUUGUACAAUUCUUGCUUUAGAUAUUUUGAAGGAAAAGUUCUCUCUAAGUGGGAAGGACCAUACAUCUUCGAGGAAGUUUGUCGCUUUGGAGCUAUUAAGAUCAACAACUCAGAAGGCACUAAUCCGAGCGUUGUCAAUGGACAAAGAAUUAAGCAUUAUAUCUCAGGUAUUCCUAUUAAUGUUCAAACUAACAUUAUUCAAAUCAUGACACCGGAGGAAAACAUAAGAGAGACCUUCCAGAACACUACAACACCCUGA